GUCAUAUGGAAUUUGGAGUUUAUUCUGAAACCAAUAGCAUUAGACCAUGACUCUUUUCUGUAGCGUUCCCACUAUCUGCUCUUUUUUUUAAAGAGGGAUCCUAUGUACCCUUUACCAAGCUUCCCUCAAUGGUAAUUGAUGCGGGAUCGGUGAGCCGAGGAGUCGAAAGAAAGAUUUCUUAGACUCUCAAGAUCUGGCAGUAGUGCUCUUUUAUUUAGAAAAUAGUGUGGAAUAGCAUGGGGACAGGACCCAUGGGCAGUCAGAGCUUCUGCUGCUGCCGCUUCUGCUGCCCCCGCUGGCAUGGGGACAGAGCCCAUGGGCAGCAGCAGGAGCUCUGACUGCCCGUGGGUCCUGUCCCCACGCACCAGCUCUGCCUGCCCAUGGAUCCUGUCCCCAUGCCAGCGGGGGCAGCAGCAGCGGCUCUGCCUGCCCAUGGGCUCUGUCCCCAUGCCAGCGGGGGCAGCAGAAGCGGCGGCAGCAGAAACUCUGACUGCCCAUGGGUCCUGUCCCCAUGCUAUUCCACACUAUUUUCUAAAUAAAAGAGCACUACUGCCAGAUCUUGAGAGUCUAAGAAAUCUUUCUUUCGACUCCUCGGCUCACCGAUCCCGCAUCAUUACACAUCCUGGAGAAGCCGAGCCUAUGACAAUGUGAAAUAGAACGUGCUUUUGUAAGGCUGCCCCAAGCAGUCACUUUGUUUAUUACAAGAGAACUUUUGAAAUCAAAGGAAGAAAUGUACUGAAAGCCAGCUGUCUACACCCUGCACAGCAUUCUUAACAACUGAUGGGAACUAGCAUUUGAUUUUAUUUGAGAUCAUUUUAGAAAAAUUGCCUAAUCUCUCCUCUCUUCAGUUUGUCCCUCUGUAAAGCAGGGAUGGUAACACCAGCAGGGAUGUUGUGAGAAUUAAAUGAGAUGUUCAGCCAUUUUCUCGGUUAGUGAUAUUUUCAUUUCGAUGUGACUAGUUGAGAAGCUGAUUAAAUGGUUUAAAUAUUUCCCCACCCUUUGCUUCUCAUUUUUUCCUCCUACUGUCUAACUUUUGAUAACUGCGAUCUCUUUAGUUCCUCCGUCUAUGCGUGCAGAUAGGGUAUCAUAGGAAAAAAUCAGUCAGUUUUGCUUCUGCUUUG
rnacentral:lncRNA from 1 species